CUUCGGGUCGUAAAGCUCUUUUGUAGGGGAAGAGGAAGGACGGUACCCUGAGAAAAAGCGUCGGCUAACUACGUGCCAGCAGCCGCGGUAAGACGUAGGACGCGAGCGUUAUCCGGAAUUACUGGGCGUAAAGGGCCAGCAGGCGGCUAGGUAAGUUGUGCGUGAAAGCCUCGUGCUCAACGCGAGGAAGCCGGACAAUACUGUCUAGCUGGAGGGCAUCAGAGGGGAGUGGAAUUCCCGGAGUAGCGGUAAAAUGCGCAGAUAUCGGGAGGAACACCGAUGGCGAAGGCAACUCCCUGGGGUGUACCUGACGCUAAGUGGCGAAAGCUAGGGGAGCGAACAGGAUUAGAGACCCUGGUAGUCCUAGCUGUAAACGCUGGGUGCUAGGUGUGGGGCGUAGAAGCUCUGUGCCGGAGCGAACGCGAUAAGCACCCCGCCUGGGAAUUACGGUCGCAAGGCUAAAACUCAAACGAAUUGACGGGGCCCCGCACAAGCAGCGGAGCGUGUGGUUCAAUUCGAUGCUACACGAAGAACCUUACCUGGGUUUGACAUGUACGUGGUAGAGAAGCGAAAGCGGAUUGACCCUUCGGGGAGCGUACACAGGUGCUGCAUGGCUGUCGUCAGCUCGUGCCGUGAGGUGUCGGGUUAAGUCCCGUAACGAGCGCAACCCUUGCCCUUAGUUACAAGUGUCUAGGGGGACUGCCGGCGGGAAGCCGGAGGAAGGUGGGGAUGACGUCAAGUCAGCAUGGCCCUUAUGUCCAGGGCUACACACACGCUACAAUGGUCAGUACAAAGGGUAGCGAAGCCGCGAGGUGGAGCGAAUCUCAGCAAAGCUGAUCGUAGUUCGGAUUGCAGGCUGCAACCCGCCUGCAUGAAGCUGGAGUUGCUAGUAACCGCGCGUCAGCCAUAGUGCGGUGAAUACGUACCCGGGGCUUGUACACACCGCCCGUCACGUCAUGGGAGUCGGUAACGCCUGAAGCCGGUAGUCUAGCCUGCA
rnacentral:rRNA from 1 species